UCGGAACCCGACCCGGAUUGGGCUAAGCUCGAGGAAGGGGCGGGCAGAAGCCUGUGAUUGGUAAGGACAGUGCGUUACUGGAUUUGAAGGCCCAAAGCCGCGCAGCCCAGAUAGCCGUGUGGACCCGGAUCAGCGACAGAACCCAGAUGCAGCAGUGUGCCUGGGAGAACCAGCAACAGACUAUCGGGGACAGACAAAUCUCUGGGCUCAACAGCUGACCAGCCAGCCUCGCCUACCUGGUGAGUUUCCCGGCAAGAAAGACCUUUUCUCAAACACAAAGGUGAGUCAUAACUAAGGAACAAUACCCAAGAGUGUCGUCUGACCUCUCUCUACAAAUACAAGUUAAUAUCAAAACAAAAUCUUUAAAAGAAAUAAACCCAAAUUCUUUGUCUUUCUUACAAUGAAUAUAAAUAAGGAUUGGAGCUGUCUUCUAGGCUAUGCACAUUACGUGGGCACUGUGUACAUCAUGGUCAGAGAUGUGUAUUGAUAAGAAAACCUCUGUGUAGCAGUUCAUCCAACAUGAUCUCAUUCUUUGAAUGCAAAACUAGUCACUGAAGUCAGUAAAUUAAAGUUAAAGGAUCUAAUGGUUAACUACCAGGCCAUCCUACUUUAAGUUUAGAAACAAAAAGGACAGAGAAAUCCUUAAAAUCAAAUUGAGGAAAGGAAAAUCUGGGCUGGUCCUACAGAAUAUAUAGUAAGACUGAACAUGGGAGGCCAUCAGGGCUUAGCCAGCCUGCACUCAGGACAAAUGACCCACUGCAGUUCUAUAGCUGAUGGUCAGACUAGAGUCAGCCCACUGUGAUGCUACAGACAUCAAAGGCAGUGUCACUGAUUAGACCAAGUUCCCUCAGUGGGACACAAAAAACACAGAGUCAGAACUCCAGUAUUCUUGAAUUUUGGAGUCUAAAAAGAAAAAAAAAA
rnacentral:sRNA from 1 species